rnacentral:rRNA from 1 species
UACGGGGGGGGCAAGCGUUGUUCGGAAUUACUGGGCGUAAAGGGCUCGUAGGCGGCCAACUAAGUCAGACGUGAAGUCCCUCGGCUUAACCUGGGAACUGCGCUUGUAACUGGCAAGCUUGAGUGUGGCAGAGGGGGGUGGAAUUCCACGUGUAGCAGUGAAAUGCGUAGAGAUGCGGAGGAACACCGAUGGCGAAGGCAGCCCCCUGGGCUAGGACUGACGCUCAGGCACGAAAGCGUGAGGAGCAAACAGG